UUUCUGUCAACUAAAACCAGUUGGACCAAUCAAGGGAAAAAUUAAUAAGUGAAAUAAAUCAGUGUAUAUAAUACUUUUUGUCAACUCAACCUAGCAGUACUAUGAGCUGUUAAGAAAUAUGAAGAUGGAUCUAGCAGAGCAUAGUUUUACUUGAUCUUUGAAAAUAGUACUUGAUGCUUAAGGAGCUGACCAAAUGAUCUAAAGGGUAUUUGCCAAGCAAAACUGAGGGGAAUCAGACAAGUCAAAUUGAUCUUGGCUAUCUUACCAUGAACUUAAAUCUAAGGUUGCCAUUUCUAAUCAGCAAGAAGCCACCUUUUCACUGCUGCAACUCAAAUUGGCAUUCUGGCACGAAACAAUAUUAAUUCUCUAGAUGAAAUGUCCUCCAGAUACAAAACAUAAAUUGUACAAGCAUUCAGUAAAAUUUGUAACAUGUUGACGACGUGCAUCAAUACUUUCUAGAAGCCGCAACAGCUCUACAGGUAGUUCUCUUUCAAAAUCAGAAUACAUUGCCUAUAAUUAAAAUGGCACAGGAGUAUUACAUUCAGAUGCAUGCAUAGAAGUAUUACCCAAAUCAGAACAAGUUAUUUGCUAGAAGCAAUGAAAAAAAUAUUACCAUGAUCAAUGCACG
rnacentral:lncRNA from 1 species